GUCUACAGUCAUGCUACCCUGAAUGUGCCCGACCUUGUCUGAUCUCGGAAGCUAAGCAGGGUUCGCCCUGGUUAGUACUUGGAUGGGAGACCACCUAGGAAUACCAGGUGCUGUAGGCG
rnacentral:rRNA from 1 species